CUGUUGUUUUUCAACUAGUUGAACCUGCCAAAUUUAAGUCUACCUCUUCUAGAAUCAAAUCACUAAACUAGUUGAAGCUGAGGAUAAAAGCUGCUAAUGAAGCUGAGGCGGCUUGCCAACGGCGUCUCUCUGUUGCUGAGGCUGAAAUAGCUGAUUUAAGAUCCAAAUUGGAUACUACUGAAAGCAUGGAAGGCAAGCAUUCGUUUCUGUGCCUAGCACUUUUCCUGUGCCUGGAGAAGAACUGAUGUUUUGAUGAUUGUAAGAGGGGCAAGGAGAAGCUUGUUUGUGAUGCUGCUCAAGUACUGCUUUAUUUCGGAGUUGAACAAAUCAUCUAUGUUUCUGAAAUGACGCACUGCUAA